AGAAAUAAGUAAAACAGGUUGGAUUUGAUAACUGGUUGAAUAGAAAAAAUGUGUAAUAGAGGAUUCCUAGGUUUCUGAGUCAGGUACCACUAAUAACCAUAAAAAAUACAUGAAUAAGAAUAGGUGUGAGUAGAGAACUGUGCUAAGUUUGGAUGGGUGGCUCUAACAACCAGCUUUUUCUAAGCUUUGUAGGCUCAUCCUACAUUUGCCUGCUUAUAGAAUUUCUCUGGGCAUUAGGUAGAACAGCUGCUUGAUAAGUGUUUUGCAGAAUGAUUAAGUCAAUCACAAUACAGGAUAUAUUCUCAAUCCAAGUCACUCAGAUUUUGUAGAUCUGAAAAGGUUUAGGAAUGUUAAGCACCAGAUCCAAGAGUAUCAAGGUAGUAAGGAAAUGAUACAAGUAGAGAUUUAAAUCUAAUUCCAAGUGACAUCAAAGACCUUUUUUCUCAGGUGACUACCUUCCUUAAAAUAUGUGAGGUGCUAUCAUGACCUACAGGAUAAAGUCACAGGACAAAGUCACAUUCUUUAGGCCUGCAUGGAAAAAAAAGAUACAUAAUAGCCUGCAUUAUAACCAGGCUCCAUUCCAAAUGUUCUCUGUGUUAGUUUCAAACCUUCUACAUUAACAAGAUCAGAGGAUACGACCCCAGGCAUCCCCCACAAAUGUUUCAUAAAACUUAUUAUCAAGGUAAAAACAUAAUAGAAACAUUAUUAUUAGAAACAUUAUUAUUAGUCUAUUUGUAAAUAUAUAAAGCUGUAACUUAUCAAGGAAAAACAAUUCAAGGUUUUAGCAAUGAGUUUUUCAAUCCUUCAACAAUUAUCAAUUGUUUAAAAAAAAAACACUGUUAACAAGCAGUUAAAAGAAUCUCAUGAUUUUUGGAGCUUAAAAUUUAAAAAGUAAACAUUAUUAAGCUGAAGCUGUUUUGUCAUUGACCAGGAAUGGUCAUCAAAGUCUAUGUUAGGCCACAAAAAUAUGAGCUAGUACCAAGAGGAAGUUACUUACAACUCAAUCUCAUCAGUUUUCUUAAAUAGCCCUCAAAUCAUAGCACAGUUCUUUGCCAGAGAGAAUCAGAGGUCAGUACC